rnacentral:snRNA from 1 species
GUGCUUUCUUUGGCAGCAUAUAGACUAAAAUUGGAACUAUACGGGGAAAUUUAACAUGGCUCCUGUGCAAGGAUAACACACAAAUUCGCGGAGCAGAAAAAAAGCAU